CUUUUCACAGGAAUAAACCAGUGUGGAGCACAUAUGGAGAAUCCUCUCUCUUUACUUCUUUACCUUCGCCUGCUUAACAGUGACAGAAGGAUACAGCCCCUUCUGGAUCAGGCUUGACCAGGAAAAGCAGCCUAGCCCAACUUGGUGGUUGCCUGCAGGGACAGAAAGAGUGGAGAAUCUCGUGGUCCAUUUCUCUUCCUCCCCUGCUUUUUACAGUUUCAUGGAGCCAUGGGAGCUCUGGAAGUGAACUCAGACAAGAAGAGGUCAUGGCUGGAGGAACAAACCACACGUGGGACUAUGUUUCUUUUCUGCAGAUGGUAGUCAUGCACUGCUCAAACAGAGCUGUCUUGCCACAUCCAUGUCCAAAUGGGAUGAUUAGGGCAUUCUUCAGGCACUGA
rnacentral:lncRNA from 1 species